rnacentral:rRNA from 1 species
CAAUACCGCGUGAGGGAGGAAGGCUCUUGGGUUGUAAACCUCUUUUCUCAAGGAAUAAGUACUGAAGGUACUUGAGGAAUCAGCAUCGGCUAACUCCGUGCCAGCAGCCGCGGUAAUACGGAGGAUGCAAGCGUUAUCCGGAAUGAUUGGGCGUAAAGCGUCCGCAGGUGGCUGUGUAAGUCUGCUGUUAAAGAGUGAGGCUCAACCUCAUAAAAGCAGUGGAAACUACACAGCUAGAGUGCGUUCGGGGCAGAGGGAAUUCCUGGUGUAGCGGUGAAAUGCGUAGAGAUCAGGAAGAACACCGGUGGCGAAGGCGCUCUGCUAGGCCGCAACUGACACUGAGGGACGAAAGCUAGGGGAGCGAAUGGGAUUAGAUACCCCAGUAGUCCUAGCCGUAAACGAUGGAUACUAGGCGUUGCGAGUAUCGACCCUCGCAGUGCCGGAGCCAACGCGUUAAGUAUCCCGCCUGGGGAGUACGCACGCAAGUGUG